GCAGUGAGCCCCCUGAUCUCCUGGGAAGAGGACUGAAGUCAUGGAGAGAGGGCAACUACUCAAACUAUUCCGUCUAGGCUGGCCUCUGGCGGAGAGUCAUUCUUCCCCGGGAAAGUUGUUGUUACCCUGGACUCAAACUGUUUGGAGACCAGGUUGGGCUCGGAGCGAUUCUUCAGUUAGGAAGUUACAGCAGCAUUUACCGAAGCAGCCUGCUGGAAACCACAAAUAAGGGAGCAAGAAGUAGCCUCAAGAAGAAACAAACUUUGGGAGAAUGUGCACUGAGAAAAGCCAGAUGGAGUCCCCCUGGAUCAAGUUAAUUAAGAAAUAAACAUGACGGUAUACUGGAGUCAAAACCAAGGAAUGCGGUGAGGACAGGUUUCUCAAUUGCCCAAAGAGAAGACACAGUUCCUUUUCAACUAAAAUUAGAAAGCCACUGGGAACAUAAGCCAAGAAGCACGGGUUUGCACCUGGCUUUUGGGAUUCAGCAGUCCCACCGACGGAGCAUCAGCUAACAGGCUGGGAGCUUUGUCAGCAAGUUCUUAAACGGCUCAUAAUUCUGCUAAGA